rnacentral:rRNA from 1 species
UACGGGGGGGGCAAGCGUUGUUCGGAAUUACUGGGCGUAAAGGGCUCGUAGGCGGCCAACUAAGUCGGACGUGAAAUCCCCAGGCUCAACCUGGGAACUGCGUCUGAUACUGGAUGGCUUGAGUUUGGGAGAGGGAUGCGGAAUUCCAGGUGUAGCGGUGAAAUGCGUAGAUAUCUGGAGGAACACCGGUGGCGAAGGCGGCAUCCUGGACCAACACUGACACUGAGGAGCGAAAGCCAGGGGAGCAAACGGG